GUGUCAGCCGCCGCGGUAAAACGUAGGAGACAAGCGUUAUCCGAAUUUACUGGGCGUAAAGCGCAUGCAGGUGGUUCGGUAAGUGGCGUGUGAAAUCUCCUGGCUCAACUGGGAGGGGACGCGCCAAACUGUCGGACUAGAGGGCGGUAGAGGGAGGUGGAAUUCCCGGUGUAGUGGUGAAAUGCGUAGAUAUCGGGAGGAACACCUGUGGCGAAAGCGGCCUCCUGGACCGUACCUGACGCUCAGAUGCGAAAGCUAGGGGAGCGAACGGGAUUAGAUACCCCCGUAGUCC
rnacentral:rRNA from 1 species